rnacentral:rRNA from 1 species
UACGUAGGGUGCAAGCGUUGUCCGGAAUUAUUGGGCGUAAAGAGCUCGUAGGCGGCUUGUCGCGUCGGCUGUGAAAACCUGGGGCUCAACCCCGGGCCUGCAGCCGAUACGGGCAAGCUAGAAUUCGGUAGGGGAGACUGGAAUUCCUGGUGUAGCGGUGAAAUGCGCAGAUAUCAGGAGGAACACCGGUGGCGAAGGCGGCUCUCUGGGACGGUACUGACACUGAGACGCGAAAGCGUGGGGAGCGAACAGG